rnacentral:rRNA from 1 species
UACAUGGGGUGCAAACGUUGCUCGGAAUUAUUGGGCGUAAAGCGCGCGUAGGCGGUUACUUAAGUCGGAUGUGAAAGCCCUCGGCUUAACUGAGGAAGUGCACCCGAAACUGAGUAGCUAGAGUACGAAAGAGGGUCGCGGAAUUCCCGGUGUAGAGGUGAAAUUCGUAGAUAUCGGGAGGAACACCAAUAGCGAAGGCAGCUCGCUGGGACGUUACUGACACUGAGGCGCGAAAGCGUGGGGAGCGAACAGG